AUGAACGCUGGCGGCGUGCCUCAUACCUGCCAGUCGAGCGAACAGACGAGGAGCUUGCUCCUCUGACGUUAGCGGCGGACGGGUGAGUAACACGUGGAUAACCUACCUAUAAGACUGGGAUAACUUCGGGAAACCGGAGCUAAUACCGGAUAAUAUAUUGAACCGCAUGGUUCAAUAGUGAAAGACGGUUUUGCUGUCACUUAUAGAUGGAUCCGCGCCCCAUUAGCUAGUUGGUAAGGUAACGGCUUACCAAGGCAACGAUGCGUAGCCGACCUGAGAGGGUGAUCGGCCACACUGGAACUGAGACACGGUCCAGACUCCUACGGGAGGCAGCAGUAGGGAAUCUUCCGCAAUGGGCGAAAGCCUGACGGAGCAACGCCGCGUGAGUGAUGAAGGUCUUCGGAUCGUAAAACUCUGUUAUUAGGGAAGAACAAAUGUGUAAGUAACUAUGCACGUCUUGACGGUACCUAAUCAGAAAGCCACGGCUAACUACGUG
rnacentral:rRNA from 1 species